rnacentral:rRNA from 1 species
GGAGUUAGCCGGUGCUUCUUCUGUGAGUGAUGUCCUUCCUGCCGGCUAUUAACCCGCAGGCCUUCUUCCUCACUGAAAGUGCUUUACAACCCGAAGGCCUUCUUCACACACGCGGCAUGGCUGGAUCAGGGUUGCCCCCAUUGUCCAAUAUUCCCCACUGCUGCCUCCCGUAGGAGUCUGGGCCGUGUCUCAGUCCCAGUGUGGCUGAUCAUCCUCUCAGACCAGCUACGGAUCGUCGCCUUGGUGAGCCGUUACCUCACCAACCAGCUAAUCCGACAUAGGCUCAUCCGAUAGCGCGAGGCCCGAAGGUCCCCCGCUUUCCCCCGUAGGGCGUAUGCGGUAUUAGCCUGGGUUUCCCCAGGUUAUCCCCCACUACCGGGCAGAUUCCUAUGCAUUACUCACCCGUCCGCCGCUCGCCACCAGGGAGCAAGCUCCCCGUGCUGCCGCUCGACUUGCAUGUGUAGCUGCCGCCACGCGUCAUCUGAGCCAUGAUACAACUACUGA